UUUUCCUCUCUUACGUUGCCCUUACUGCUGUGUCUUUCUCGCUCUCUCAAAAGUCUCAAGUAAGCCACUUUUUUCCGUGGAAAUCUAAGAAACCCAUUUGCCUCUACUCAUUCAUUACUCAAAAUAUUCUUCUGGGUUUUAACUGACUCUUGGAAAUAAUUGGAUACUGAGUUUUUUGAGUGGUCGGAAAGUUAACUGGAAAGCGACGAUGGAUGUUGAUUCACAACCAACUAUGGAGGAAACUAUAUUGGUUGGCGAUGAUCUAAUGAUGGGGCUACCAUCUCCUGUCAUCCCACAAGAAAUUGCAUCUCAUGUGCUUCAAGGUGUCGAUUUAUGUGAUGGGAUUUUACGCAAUUUAUUCUUGUGUCUGCAGAUUAAUGAUAUUGAGCCAUUCUGUCAAGAUGAGCUUGCAUUAUAUCGACAAUGUGCUGAAAAGAGAGACAAGGAACUAAGGCAACGGCUUCAAGAUAGUGAGAGAAAGUUGGGGUUGUCAAUGCCUUUAGAUCAGGCAAAGGAAAGAACUGGUCAGCUUGAAUCGGAAGUCACGUCAUUAGAGAGCAUCUUGUAUGAAAAUCAAACUUAGAAGAACAAAGAAAAGGCAGGGACAGUACAGCUCAUUCCUAUAGAAAAAACCUUUAUGUCACUAGUCAGAACUUAAAAGAGCGCUUGAUUCUGGCAAGUGGAAUUGAAGGCAUCGAAGGAUUUCGUCAGAGAUGGAGCCUGCAUGGACGUCUUACAGAUACCAAGAGAAGGCUGGAGUCUUUAAAGCUGGGAAUGGAGAACAGAAAAGAGGAUGAACCAAGCAAAAGUCCUACUAGGAAAAGAUGGUUCUUUUGGUGAUAUUGGUGUCGCAUCUGUAUGGUGCUUCAAAUUAGCAUACAUCAGCAGCUUUUAACAAGAAGAUAGACCCAGUACUCAAGCUCUGGUAAUUAUGCCAUGAGGAUCGAUUCUUGAUUCUUGAUUCUCGACUUGCAACCCUGCUUCAAGGUUGCAGAUCAAGGUCAAACAUGUUGUAGUGCCUUAUGAGUCAAGAAAAUUGUGAUGGGGAUGAGUUUUUUUUGCCCAGGCUGCAAACUUCAUUGAACAUCUGAGGCUUAUCUCUAAACCAUGGGGACAGUUGUCUACGUUCUACCUUGGUCGUUCCACAAGAAAUGUCCCUAAUAGUCAGUGCUGAUUAGACAGAAAAACGCAAGACGUCAAUAUGGGAAUUGUUUUUUUCUUUUGGUUCACGUUAUGUUUUUUUGUUCAAUUAACGAGUAUGUUGAUACGCACACUGGGCGUAAAUCAGCAUUCAACUA